UAAACCAAGGAAUGUAGAAAU
rnacentral:piRNA from 1 species